GGACGUGAGGGCAAGCUGGCUGUGAUGUCUGUCACCCCACUGAUCGCCAGGGCUAUUGGCUGAUCUGGUCGGCUGGGCGGGUGUCCGCUUCCUCCCUCACUGCUCCAUGUGCGUCCGUUCUGAAGCUCUGCCCUGGGUCAAAGGUGAUGACAACCUUCCCCCAUAGAAGACGACUGUUCUUCAGGCACGGUCAGAAGAGAAGCUGUGCACCCCUACCAGAACCUCCAAACAAGCUUGCAAGAGGGCUUCCUGUAGUACUGGGACAUACGCUGUCUGUGACUGUCUUAAAUAUUAAGAUUCUACCUACUCCUUGGUGUAUGUCU
ensembl:misc_RNA 7SK 7SK RNA